GUGAACCCGUUUGAUCGUGAUUGGUUUGUGUUUCAGGGUCUGUGUUCAAACAUCCAAAUCCUCUACAAAUUAAAGAAGUGGUGGACUAGGAAUAAUGCCAACAAAACUCGAGAUAAGAGCAAAACAGUGAAGAUGGGAGUGAGGAUUGUUAGUCAGUCGACUGGUUAGACGCAGCCUUGGUGGCAUAGGAUUAAAGAUGGUGUCGUGUUGUCUUUUGGUUAAUCUAAUGGUGUUGGUGGUGAUACGGAUUCGUCUACAGCUCCACAGUCUGCUAAUUAAACACUACAAUGUGACGCCACUCCGAACCAUAAUUUGGCGGAGAAGAUAGGUUUUAUAAUCCGGCAAAAACAAGAAGAAGCCGUCAAAAUCAAGAUGAACUCCGUGAGCACAAAGUGACGCCACUCGGAACCAUAAUUUGGAGCUAUGAUGCAAGUGACAUUGAAACUCCUAGAAAUAGUUUG